UACGAAGGGGGCUAGCGUUGUUCGGAAUCACUGGGCGUAAAGCGCACGCCGGCGGAUCGAUAAGUCGGGGGUGAAAGCCCGGGGCUCAACCUCGGAAUUGCCUUCGAUACUGUCGGUCUCGAGUCCGGGAGAGGUGAGUGGAAUUCCUAGUGUAGAGGUGAAAUUCGUAGAUAUUAGGAAGAACACCAGUGGCGAAGGCGGCUCACUGGCCCGGUACUGACGCUCAGGUGCGAAAGCGUGGGGAUCAAACAUG
rnacentral:rRNA from 1 species